UGUAUACAUGCAUGUAUGUCGCUUUGGAUACAAGCGUCUGCUGAAUGGCAUAAU
rfam:Salmo salar isolate Sally breed double haploid chromosome ssa28, whole genome shotgun sequence.